AUUGAACGCUGGCGGCAGGCCUAACACAUGCAAGUCGAACGGUAACAGGAAGCAGCUUGCUGCUUCGCUGACGAGUGGCGGACGGGUGAGUAAUGUCUGGGAAGCUGCCUGAUGGAGGGGGAUAACUACUGGAAACGGUAGCUAGUACCGCAUAAUGUCGCAAGACCAAAGAGGGGGACCUUCGGGCCUCUUGCCAUCGGAUGUGCCCAGAUGGGAUUAGCUUGUUGGUGGGGUAACGGCUCACCAAGGCGACGAUCCCUAGCUGGUCUGAGAGGAUGACCAGCCACACUGGAACUGAGACACGGUCCAGACUCCUACGGGAGGCAGCAGUGGGGAAUAUUGCACAAAGGGCGCAAGCCUGAUGCAGCCAUGCCGCGUGUAUGAAGAAGGCCUUCGGGUUGUAAAGUACUUUCAGCGGGGAGGAAGGGAGUAAAGUUAAUACCUUUGCUCAUUGACGUUACCCGCAGAAGAAGCACCGGCUAACUCCGUG
rnacentral:rRNA from 1 species